rnacentral:tRNA from 1 species
GGAAACGUGGCUCAAUGGUAGAGUGCUUGCCUCGCAUGCAUGAGGCCCUGGGUUCGAUUCCUCAGUACCA